UUUAGCUGAGAAGCUCUUAAAAUAUCUUCAGGUUUUAUGCAGGCUUAUCUUUAGAAACAGUGAAAUCUUUAAAAAUAGGACUGCUCAGAGGAUCAAGGUGGAAAGCAGAAUAGGGAAUAUAAGAAGGAACCAAGAUGUGUUUGUACCUGUACCAAUUCCCACAACGAGCACAAUAAAAUACACCACAUUCUGAAGAAAUGUUGGAAGUCAUGAGAAUACGAGUGAGGAAAAUGCAGAUGGGCUACAAUAUCCAUUACCUCAAACCACAAGAGACAAUGAUCCCGACCCAAGAUUACAUUUACACAUUUAUGACUGGCUUGUAAAAGGUCAAAAUA